AGUCAGGGAAAGUUUGCAGUCAACUGUAAAAUUGCCAUGAAACUGUGGAUCUGAGUGUAAAUGAGGUAGGCGGAAUGUGUUGUGUAGCGGUGAAAUGUUAGAUAUAACACAGAACACCAAUUGCGAAGGCAGCUUACUGGGAUACAACUGACGCUGAGGCACGAAAGCGUGGGGAUCAAACAGGAUUAGAUACCCUGGUAGUCCACGCAGUAAACGAUGAAUACUAGCUGUAUGCGAUAUACUGUAUGCGGCACAGCGAAAGCGUUAAGUAUUCCACCUGGGGAGUACGUUCGCAAGAAUGAAACUCAAAGGAAUUGACGGGGGCCCGCACAAGCGGAGGAACAUGUGGUUUAAUUCGUGAUACGCGAGGAACCUUACCCGGGCUUGAAAUGCAGAAGACCGACGGAGAAAUCCGUUUUCCAGCAAUGGCUUCUGUGUAGGUGCUGCAUGGUUGUCGUCAGCUCGUGCCGUGAGGUGUCGGCUUAAGUGCCAUAACGAGCGCAACCCUUAUCAUUAGUUACUAACAGGUCAUGCUGAGGACUCUAAUGAGACUGCCACCGUAAGGUGUGAGGAAGGUGGGGAUGACGUCAAAUCAGCACGGCCCUUACGUCCGGGGCGACACACGUGUUACAAUGGGGGGUACAGAGGGUCGCUACCUAGUGAUAGGAUGCUAAUCUCAUAAAGCCUCUCUCAGUUCGGAUCGAAGUCUGCAACUCGACUUCGUGAAGCUGGAUUCGCUAGUAAUCGCGCAUCAGCCAUGGCGCGGUGAAUACGUUCCCGGGCCUUGUACACACCGCCCGUCAAGCCAUGGAAGCUGGGGGGACCUGAAGUACGUAACCGCAAGGAGCGUCCUAGGGUAAAACUAGUAACUGGGGCUAAGUCGUAACAAGGUAGCCGUAG
rnacentral:rRNA from 1 species